rnacentral:tRNA from 1 species
GCCCCUGUAGCUCAAAGGACAGAGCACUCUUCUGGCUGAGGAGCGGUUGCGGGUUCGAAUCCCGCCAGGCUUG